UGGAAACAUCUCACAUACUGCACAUGACAGAUGACUUCUGAAGUAGUGACCCGGAAAAAGUACCCAGGAUCAAAUGCGAGAUUCAAAAAAGGACUCUCACUGUUGUGGCCUCUCCCGUUGUGGAGCACAGGCUCUGGACGCGC